rnacentral:rRNA from 1 species
UACAGAGGGGGCGAGCGUUAUUCGGAAUUAUUGGGCGUAAAGGGCGUGUAGGCGGCCUUCUAAGUCUGCUGUGAAAGUCCAGGGCUCAACCCUGGGAUGUCAGUGGAUACUGGAAGGCUCGAGUCCGGAAGAGGCGGGUGGAAUUCCUGGUGUAGCGGUGAAAUGCGCAGAUAUCAGGAGGAACACCAAUGGCGAAGGCAGCCCGCUGGGACGUGACUGACGCUGAGACGCGAAAGCGUGGGGAGCAAACAGG